rnacentral:rRNA from 1 species
UACGAAGGGGGCUAGCGUUGCUCGGAAUCACUGGGCGUAAAGCGCACGUAGGCGGAUUGCUAAGUCAGGGGUGAAAUCCUGGAGCUCAACUCCAGAACUGCCUUUGAUACUGGCAACCUUGAGUCCGGGAGAGGUGAGUGGAACUGCGAGUGUAGAGGUGAAAUUCGUAGAUAUUCGCAAGAACACCAGUGGCGAAGGCGGCUCACUGGCUCGAUACUGACGCUGAGGUGCGAAAGCGUGGGGAGCAAACAGG